CCAGGCGAGCUGCGCCCCCCACCCCGCCCCCCCCCCCCCGGGGGCCUGCCCCCCCCCUGUCCCCCAGCCCCCACCCCCCCCCCCCCCCACAACCUCUACACCCACCCUUCCCAUACCUCAGAGCCUUGCCCUGUGAGGCUCUGCCCUGUGCCCCCCCCCGCUCGCCAGGCUGCGCUCACCAUCCCUGCUCUUUCUGCCCAGGCCCCCCCCUCGGACAGGCCGCCCCCCCCCACCCGCCCGCUGCCUGCGGACCCCGUGGCGCCAGGCACUCAGCCCCCCGCUCCUGCCAAGCCCCCCCCACCUCGCCGGCCCCUGCCCUCGGACCCCCCGGGGCCUUCACUGCCACGCAGCGAGAGCCCCCCCGGCCACCCCCACGUCACCGUCAUCCCUUCCAGGUGAGUGGGGGGGGCAGGAUUUUUUAAUUUUUUAUUGGGGGGGGGGAGAGGGUACACUGAGGGGCUGCAGGCAGUUUUGGGGGGGUAGUGGGGGGUGUGGGGGCACAGGGGGUGUGCUGGGGGGGCCCCUCGCUGCAUCCACCCCCCCUCACUGCCCCUUUCCCCUCCCCAGGCCGGCGCCGCCGCCCCCCGCGGGCACCCCCCGGGAGGCCUGAGCGGGGCCGGGACCGCCGCUGGAGCCGCCGGGCCGGGAGGGGGGCCGGGGGGGGGGCUCGCCGCCUGCUUGUCGCCGCCGGGCCAAUAAAGGGGCCGUGAGCCUGCCUCCGUGCUGCCUC
rnacentral:lncRNA from 1 species